CUUGCUUUCUUUGCUGGCGACCGGCGCACGGGUGAGUAACACGUAUCCAACCUGCCCUUUACUCGGGGAUAGCCUUUCGAAAGAAAGAUUAAUACCCGAUAGCAUAAUGAUUCCGCAUGGUUUCAUUAUUAAAGGAUUCCGGUAAAGGAUGGGGAUGCGUUCCAUUAGGUUGUUGGUGGGGUAACGGCCCACCAGCUUCGAUGGAUAGGGGUUCUGAGAGGAAGGUCCCCCACAUUGGAACUGAGACACGGUCCAA
rnacentral:rRNA from 1 species